UCAAUGAGCCACUGGGAAUUUGAUCC
rnacentral:piRNA from 1 species